GGUCCGAACCCACGAGCGUUGAAAAGCUCGGGGAUGACUUGUGGGUAGCGGUGAAAUUCCAAUCGAGCCCGGAGAUAGCUGGUUCUCCCCGAAAUAGCUUUAGGGCUAGCCUCAAGGUGAGAGAUACGGAGGUAGAGCACUGAAUGUCCUAGGGGGUAUUGCACCUACCGAAGACUAUCAAACUCCGAAUGCCGUCAUCUUAUACUUGGGAGUCAGACUGUGGGUGAUAAGAUUCAUAGUCGAAAGGGCAACAGCCCAGAUCGUCAGCUAAGGUCCCUAAAUGUAAGUUAAGUGGUAAAGGAUGUGGGAUUGCACAGACAACCAGGAUGUUGGCUUAGAAGCAGCCACUCAUUCAAAGAGUGCGUAAUAGCUCACUGGUCGAGUGAUCCUGCGCCGAAGAUUUCCGGGGCUAAAACUUACUACCGAAGCUACGGCAUCAGUAAUGAUGGGUAGGGGAGCUUCCCAUACGGGUUGAAGCAUGACCGUAAGGACAUGUGGACAGUAUGGGAGUGAGAAUGUUGGCAUGAGUAGCGAGAUGUGGGUGAGAAUCCCACAGGCCGUAAACCCAAGGUUUCCAGGGGAAGGUUCGUCCGCCCUGGGUUAGUCGGGACCUAAGCUGAGGCCGAAAGGCGUAGGUGAUGGACAACAGGUUGAUAUUCCUGUACUACCGAUAACCGUUUGAGAGAUGGGAUGACACAGUAGGAUAAGCUAAGCACACUGUUGGUUAUGUGUGCCCAAGCAUUGAGGCAGUCAAAGUAGGCAAAUCCGCUUUGAUAAUGCUGGGAUGUGAUGGGGAGCGAAAUUUAGUAGCGAAGUAGCUGAUUUCACACUGUCAAGAAAAGUCUCUAUCGAGGUUAAAGGUACCCGUACCGCAAACCGACACAGGUGGGUGAGGAGAGUAUCCUAAGGCCAGCGAGAGAACUGUUGUUAAGGAACUCGGCAAAAUGACCCCGUAACUUAGGGAUAAGGGGUGCCACCAUCAGGUGGCCGCAGAGAAUAGGCCCAAGCGACUGUUUACCAAAAACAUAGGUUUCUGCUAAGUCGCAAGACGAUGUAUAGGAGCUGACGCCUGCCCGGUGCUGGAAGGUUAA
rnacentral:rRNA from 1 species